UUCCUAACUCUAAAACUUUGUUUUCUCCCAUGGAAAGCCUCACAGCCUCCCCCGCUGCAUGGUGCUCCUCUGCACUGCUCACCCUGCCAUGCCUCUGCCAUUAUUCACAGCUCUUCUGGUGUUCUUUGUCCAAAUAUCCAGGGGUCAAGCUUGAAGGUAGAUUGAAUCCUGUGUUACAGCCCAGCAACAGUCCCUGCUCAUAUGUUUUGUGUCCCAUUUUCCUGCCUAGUGAGGGAUAGAAGCUGAAGGAGUACAACUCCAUUGACACGUCCUCCUCAAGAGUUUGCUGCAGUCACAUGGGAAGACCUGCUGAAGACCAUCCUCUCCAGCUCAGCCCCUUCUUCUUCUGCAGGAUGAAAAGAGCCAACAACACUUGGAAAUGCCCUGAUCUUGCUGUGGCCCUGUGGCCUGAACCUCGGAGCACCUCGAACCUUUGCUUCAGAAUCAUCUCUGAGAUAAAAGCAAGACAUGAUCCGAUCAUUUAGGCUGCUCACUGAAUCUUGACACAGCCCUGCUACAAGCUGCUUUCUGCUGCUAUCUGCAGCCAGAAGUAACGAUAACCAUGCACGGGGAGACAGCACAGCCCUUCCUUCUCAAUGCGCACAUCAUCAAACCAGCACAGCGCUGCUUCGGAGGAAAGCAGCAGCUCCGAUGGGGACAGGAAUACUCAUCAUCAUUCCCUGCAUUCCUGGAGAAGCUUUCAUCUGAAGGUUUCAAAGAAAAUAUCCUUUUCCAGCAUCGCAUAGGAUGCAUAAACCUUACAAUUUCACUGACACGCAGGCUAGGUAGCUGCAUUUUGUUAUGGCUUGCUGAGUCCCCAGGAGAGCUAACAUCAGCACAAAGUAAACCAGAGGCACUUUCAUUUGAAGGUACUGAGUUCUCAGUACUAUGGGAAGCCAAGAUGCUUCCUCUGAGCCGUGCAGUUCUAGGCAACUAGGACUGAAAAUCUGGACCACUGGUUACCACAGGCUGAGUUUUGACAUUGAGGAGCCAAAAUGCCUUUGCUUAAGAAGGCAGAACAACAGCAUAUAACGCAUCACGGUAGAAAAUUGUGUACAAAUCUCCUACAGCUGGUGUACUGAGGACCCAUUAAUCAUUUCUGAUCACCUACAGCUCUAAUUUAGGGAAUUCAUCACUCUAGAGCCGUGCCACAGCAGUGAAGUUUACAUCUCAAGCCUCAGACCAUCCUGACAUCCACCAGUGAUAUUUUUGUGGGGACAGAUUUCUUUCUGCUGAUAGGGAAAGAAGUGAUGGACAUAUUUCUUCACAGGUGGUUUUCUGAGACUCUGAAAGUCCUAUUCAGUGUUAGAAGACUACUUUGCUCUCAAGAGCCACAUAAUAUUUUGCAAAAAAAUAGACAAUAUUAACAAAAUAACACUGAAGAAAUGAAGGGAAGACUAGAGCAAAGGAAAUUAAUGUAGGCCCUAAAUGCUACAGAGAACUGCAUGACAGGAUUCAUAAAGGCACCCUUAGAAAUGAAAUUGGAAACCUGUCAGCACUGUUAGAUGCCUGGGCAUUUUUACAAAUCUGCCCCUGAAGAAGCGGUGGCAUAAAAUAAUUGCUAAAACAAGGGUUUUGCUUCCAAGAAUGCUCUCAACAAUGGACUGUGGAAGCUUAAAAAUGUUUCUUUUUAUUUUUCCUUAACUUUGUAGAGAGUUGGUAGGAUGAUAUGUUAAUCUCUGUGUACAGGGUUAUAUUCCUGGUGUAUGUUUGGGUUAGUAAUUCAGGACUCUGGCAGACUAUAAAGUAGUGUUGUACAGAGCUGCUGUGUGACUCUAGGUAACUAUCUUUUUUUUAGACUCCUUUUUCUCUCUAUUUUGUAAAUUUAGGUUCUAAGCAUAUUGUGCUGUGACUCUUGGCAGUAGCACAGUACUCAGAAUAUUCCGAGUAAAACUGAUGAGAUGUUUAUCCCUGUAUAAUCUUCUGCUCAUCCAUAACUUGAAAAUUGUCAAUUGACAACUUUAAAAUUAAAUGUGUCUUUGGAAAACUAUGGAACCGGCAAGUGAAAUUUGUGCUGUAUUUAGGUAAAGCUCCUCCAUUUUGUUACCAAGAGAACUGUGCCUCAGGAUGAGUCGCAGAGUUAUCGAUGGACACAAAGAUAAAUCAGCCCUGUUGUUGUAGAUGAAGACAGUGGGCUUUACCAGAGAAAUAGGCUUAAUGAGGCAACGUAACAUGGCAAUUAUAUUUGUGUUUGUGACUGACAGUCUGGUUGUAGAUAGCAAGAGAAAGAAAGGAGCAUUUGGUGUGACCACAGAGGACAUUUUUGCUAUAAAGCAGGAGUUAGAAGGUAGGCAAAGUGAAGAAAGUACAAGCUUUGGAGAAGGGUGCAGCUGACAGUGUCAGAAAUAGCUGCCAGGUUUCAGAGAAUGAGGCUGGAGAGCUGGUGAUGGAGCAAGAUGUAUAAAGGCCUAUAAAAGCUUUGACAAAAGUGGUCUCAGUGGAGUAAGAAGAGCAAUAACUGAAUUGGUGAAUGAGUAGUUAAAUGAAGAGAUUAGGCAGAGAAAAUGAAUAGCCAAGGGUUAAGACAGAUCGCUGACAUGGACAUAGCUAAGGAUGAGGGAAAGAGAUAAAUCAUGAUGCAAAGGGGAAAAUAAAAAUGGGUAAAAGCAAAUGAAAAUGUUUUUAUGAAUCUGAAAUGAAAACUUUUCAGUCUUUUCCUUUCCAUAUUUUAUUAUAUUUCAUUUAGACUCAGAACCAAGUCAAGACUGGAAAACACAAAAUCCUUUGUGAAAUGGAAUGUCUGUCUCCUGCACAGUCCUUAUUGCAAGUCAGUCAGUUCUGGUUAAAAUCACUUUCCACUUUCUAUGUUUAUCUGAUACCAGAUUGCUAAAUAACUUGAAUAUUUUUGUCCAUUUAAAACCUCUAUGCUUUUGUAUAAACUAAUCUUGAAGAAUUCUGAACUACUCAGUGCUAGAAUGAUUCUUUUAUUUAUUUAUGAUGCAUUCAGUGGCAAGACAGGGAGUUCUCCAUGAAAACUUUCAGUUUUAUAUAGGAAAUUAUGUUUCCAGAAAAUUUAGGAACUACUUUAGUUCAGUCUAAUUGCUGAAGAUUUGAGUCCUUUUGUGAUGCAAUACAUCACUUGCCACUUGCAAUCUUCAAAUAUAUCAACAUAUAAUUUUUUAAACAUGGUACAAUCUCUUACAAAGAGGCAACACAAUUCACUCUUGCAAACUCGUCACAUGUCAGAGUAGUCAGCUUCCAUUUUUUGAGAAGCUUCAAAUCACAGGUGAUUUUAACUAUUGAUCUACUGACUUUCAUUGUUGUCAUGACAACAUCACUGAGAAUUUUACUGCACAUCUUUUCCAUGCAGAUUUGGCUUGUAUAUGUACAGUUUUCUUUUAAGAUUGUUCAGAAGAUGAUAUGAAGCUAUAUUAAGACAGUCUUUACUCUGGCAUCUCUAACAUUGACAUCAAAUUUAGAUAAAUGCAAGCUGAAAUAUGCAUAUGUUUCAGCUAAGACAUCCCUCAGAGAAACAAGGUCUUUUGUUUGGUCUGGAGUAGAAAUCAGCUCAUAAACUCUUAUGUUACUCUCCCAGGCAGAAAGACAAGCCUUUAUGCAAAGAAUAGAUUCUUGUAAAUCAAAAACAAGGCGGAGAAACUUCUUCGAAGCCUCCUGUAUUGCAUGUGAUCACAGAAAAUGUGUGGACAGUUGGUCACCUGCCUUAAAAUUUAUGAAUUUUGAUGGUGAUUGAUUUUUCAGUUGCCACAGGGACACUGCUCCUGCAGAGGCCAAGGGCAAUGAUGGGAUGAUUUCACGACUGACCUGCACGGAAACUGAGGAGCAGUCACUGACUGUAGUGUUGGCUGAAGAGGAGGAAGGAGCAUGUGGAAGAAGCAUCUCUGCCAGCAGUGCUCAGCCAUGGACUGGUGGUGCUUCAUAACACUGCAUCCUGUUACAUCUCCUCCUUUGGGCAAGUGCUGCUUUGCACACCAAACAACUGAUGACCCUGGCUUGUCAUAGCACAUUCACAUCUCUUGAAGCAUUCAAUUUUUAUCUGACUUCUGUUCCUCUCAUUCCUAAACAUCUUGCCACAUCGCAGUAAAAAUACAUUUUUAAAAACAAAUCAAUUCCAACUGCCAAGGAUGCAUUACUGAGCCACUUUGUCACGUGCUUUUAGUUUUCUUCUUGCUCUAGGUGGCUGGAAUGAGAGUACUUUCCUCUUAACAUCUUCAAACCCAGAAUCUGAUGCAGAUAUUUAAUUAUGGUAGUUUUAUUUUCUGCUGAGAGUUUUGGCUAUGUCCUCAUUGCUAUUGUGCUGUUACUUCAUUGGAAACACAAUGAACUGGAGAAAACCCACAGCUCCAAUAUUUUCUUACAGCUUAGCUCCACUCCCAGCAAAGCACCAUUUCCCUUUCUCCAGGGUUUUUGAUAGUCCAGAGCAUUAACCUCUAGCGCCUGCUAGUUUCUUGGCACCUCCGAACGCUUCAUGGCAUCUCUAAAUGUACUGUCUCCUUCAUUUGUCCGCUCCCUGUGUCAGGAAGAGCUCUCAGGGCUCUUGUCCCCACCGAUUUCCAGUUUCUGGCAAAGUACUAACAAAGUUUCAUAUCUCUCCCUUUCACUGGCAGCUGCAAAUAAAUGUUCUUAUUUUCAUCUGCUUUUUGGGGAGCUUCAUGCAACAGUUUCUAUUCUGUUCAAUAUGCAAAUAACCCAUCUUCCUUCUGUUCCCUCAGAAAGAGAAUAGAGUUUAUAAGGAGAGGCAACACCUUUUAUUAGAUUAAUGGAGUGAGAAGAAAAAAGCAGAGGAGCUUGAGACUACACAAGCUUUUCUUCACCUUGCAGAGAGAGUGCUGCAUAAAUGCUGCUAACAUAUAACCAUAAUAAUUUCUAGCUGCCUCGCAUGAAGAAACAUCUUCAGAUUUGAAGGAAUCAAAAACCCACUGCUAAAUGGUAAACCUGGUAGAAUUGUCAAUGUAAGCCCCACAGGAGGGCCGAGGAGGACUUUCAGAGGAAAACACAGAUCGUUUCAGGUAUCUGAACUGCACACAUCUUGAAAUAAUGAACUUUAGCAAAAAUUAUGCUCUACGUGAAAAUUCAUGGUCAUAUUCCCUUGUUGAUAUUUUUCUGUUUAAAAAUCAAAGAGCAGAAGCUUAGGCAGUCAAGUCGCACAACAGGAGUAAUGAACAUAGAUAGCGGGAGUUGAUGGUUUGUAAGCAGUCUAUAGCUGAAAUGUUACUCAUCUGGAUUAUUCAGAAAAUACCAAUGAAUAACAAAUGCUCAGAGAAAAUAAGGGACAAUUUAGUGAACAGUCCCAUCUGCACUUCUCAAAGCUCAUUAUUCAAAGGUGGAGGCAGCGGUGGCGGCGGUGGUGAGUUUGACAGCAUUGGAGUUACUGCAAUAAAAACUCAUUUCAAAUGCAGUGAUGGCAAUAAGGGUAAACUAUAUGGGAGUGCAGGUGAGACCCAGAGGAAGGCUCUCACUCUCAUUAGUUAUGUACAACAGUGGCUCUGCUGUUAGUUACUCACUUCAGAAUAAGCUCAGAAAUCAGCUGAUCAGUUAUUCAACACUCUGGAGUCCUUUACACAAUCUAUAAGGUGGAGAUUUUGUAAAAGGACAGAACAAUAAUGAGGAUGUAUGGUCAUGAGGAUGUGCACUGCAGUGAGGUAAAUAAAUAAUAGAAAAACUAACUUAGGUAAGCUGCAGAAACAAAAUCUUUGGCUGAGAAUAAUGAGAGAGACAGAGUAUAUCCACCUUCACAGUGGAGCGGGAUGCAGGGAUCUUAAAUAACUGCAAGCCUGUGAACUCUGGACCCAGAAGCAACAUAGUCACAUCAGGGUGAUACAGUGCUUCAGUUAAUUAACUGAAUUAGAUGGCACCGGCAUGUUUAUGUUGGUGUAGAUAUGCAUCUAAUUGCUGCUAGACGGGCUUUAGGUGUUAUGUCCAAAAAUGCAAUCUAGAAGAAAAUGUAAUGCCACGAGUACUCUGGUGCCAGGUAAUUGAAAUGAGAAGGUCAGAGCUGCAUUCUGCCAAGGAGUGGGCUAAGACUGUCCCCAGGCAGGAGGCAGGGGAGCAGGCAGGGCAGCAGAGCCCUGCCCUGGGGUCCCAUGGGAAUGGAGGCACCUGCAAGGGCUGUGGGUUUCAGUUCCAGAAAAAGGUAUGAUUUACAACCUACUUUGUGAAGCAUUUUUUUUGUCUAGUACUAAAGUUUUUUUCUGCUCAGCUGAUUAUCUGAAUCACUAGUUUUAUGAAUUAAGUACCUCCUGGGUUUUAACAGGAAAUAUAGGUGUCUUCCACAGGAUUCCAGUUUCCUUCUGAAGAAGGCAAGCUGACUUGUAAACAUUUUUGUCCUUUAUUGUAUUAGCCCUUUUUUACUAUGUAAAGGAUGAGCUAUCUUCACUAACCUAAGCAGAUUAUUGAAAUCUUUGACUGAAAAAAACCAUUACAAAGCACGACAUAAAGAGAAGAUAAAGUAUGGACAAACACUGCUAUGAGUGAGGAAAAUCAUGUCCCCAGGGAUCUUUCUUACUGCUUAGCAGCAGAGCUGGGUUUUCCUUUAGAGAGGAGAUAUGUUCUUCCUUCAGCACAUGACAGUGUUCAACUUUGCUCAUAAUCCAAUAAAUAACGUGUUCAUAUGAAACCAUGUCUGUCGUGUUGUCACGUCAGUCUUACAAAGUGAUACACCAGAGCUUUCUCACUUCAUAGGAAUCAAUCUUUUUGUACAACCAGAGGCAACCCAAAUCCAUUUAAAAAGAAAUCUGUACAUGUAGUCUCAUAUAUUGGAGGAAAAGCUUGCAACAAAUGCCAUUCAGGGUUGUCUUGUAGUUCAUGAUUCCAGGGUCUUACUUUCUGAAUCAUAGCAUGCAUGUGGCAAACUGCCACCUUGGUGGCCAAGAAGAUAAUGUACAUUAUUAUGUAGACAUUAUCUAGUCAACAGCAUAUGGAAAGCCUGUGAAGCAUUUUAAAUUGUAGCCUUCAUUUUGUUCUUCAAAUAGUGUACCAAAUAUUUUGAUCAUUGCUUUUCAUUAAAACUGUAUCUUUAACUCCUCUCCCUAUCUUGCUAUCAGCUUCCACUAAACACAUAAGAUAGAUGAGUGGAAGUAGGAUCCCAUGCUGUUCUGAGAUUAGAUAAAGAGAUGAUGAAAGGUCUUAAACUGAAUGAGGAAAUAUCCCAGGUGUUCUAGAGAAGCAAUAAUAAAA